UACGGAGGGGGCUAGCGUUGUUCGGAAUUACUGGGCGUAAAGCGCACGUAGGCGGCUUUGUAAGUUAGAGGUGAAAGCCCAGGGCUUAACCCUGGAAUUGCCUUUAAGACUGCAUCGCUUGAAUCGUGGAGAGGUGAGUGGAAUUCCGAGUGUAGAGGUGAAAUUCGUAGAUAUUCGGAAGAACACCAGUGGCGAAGGCGACUCACUGGACACGGUAUUGACGCUGAGGUGCGAAAGCGUGGGGAGCAAACAGG
rnacentral:rRNA from 1 species